UACAGAGGUGGCAAGCGUUGUUCGGAAUUACUGGGCGUAAAGGGCGCGUAGGCGGUUUCGUAAGUCCUGUGUGAAAUCCCCCGGCUCAACUGGGGAACUGCACAGGAAACUGCGAGGCUUGAGUUCGGGAGAGGGAAGCGGAAUUCCGGGUGUAGCGGUGAAAUGCGCAGAUAUCAGGAGGAACACCGGUGGCGAAGGCGGGUCUCUGGGCCGAUACUGACGCUGAGGAGCGAAAGCGUGGGGAGCGAACAGG
rnacentral:rRNA from 1 species